AUGGCAAACAAACAAACAAACACACAGAGCACAACCCCAACCCCGAAAAAGCUACCGCGGAGAGAAGCAGUAACUCCCUCCACAGCAAAAGGCGCCACUGAAAAGCACGCAAAAAUGCAACGAGAACGUUGCUCUGUGCCUAACAUGGCAGAAAGCCCGAGCUGGUGCGGCCACCCCGGGGCUGGGCAUUGGGGGGCACCGGGGCUCCCGGGGCGUCGGUGCACACUCACCCGGCUCCGGGGGAAUGCGGGGCUGGCCGCGCAUCACAAAGAGGAGCCCGGCGCGAUCUGGCAAAACCCAACUUUCCACCCGGCUCGCCAGGGCCGCCAGAUACGUCAACAGAAUCCAUCUUUCGAAGGGCCUGGAAGGCGCCGGGUUUUCCCGGCCGGGACAGAACGGCAGAUCCGGAGACUGCCCGGUGCGGUGCCGGGGCUCGGAGUCCGCCGUGAACCGCCCUCUGCGCCCGGUGCCAGUGCGGGCGGCGGCCCGAAACCCACUUCUGGGCCCCCGCCCCGCCGGCCGGCGCCGCCUCCCCGGCAGUCCCUGGCCCCGCCGGGCAGUGCGCGGCGCCGGGAACGGGAGCGGAGCCCCGGCGCGCCACACGGGCGGCGGCCUCGGCCAGCGUCCCCGCCCCCGCCCGGCCCUCCCCGCCGGCCCCGGCCUCCGGGCGCCGUCCUGCCCCCGGGAGCAGGCCCCUCCCCGGGCGCCGGGCCCCGCCAGGCGCGCCCAGCCCGGCGCGCCCCCUACGUCCUGAUGGCAGAAAUUAAAAGAUUUCUGUGGGUCCUUAAAAGUCCAGUGAGCCCCAGGCACUGUGUCUACUAGGCCUAAAGGAGAAAUCAGCCCUGAUGGAGGCUCACUCUGUCACCCAGGCUGAAGUGCAGUGGUGUGAUCUUGGCUCACUGCAACCUCUGCCUCUCAGGUUCAAGCGAUUCUCCUGCCUCAACCUCCCAAGUAGCUGGGAUUACAGGUGCUCACCACCACACCCAGCUAUUUUUCUUUCUUUCUCUCUUUUCUUUUUUUUUUUCUUGUAUUUUUAGUACAGACGAAGUUUUACCAUUGUUGGCCAAGUUAGUCUCAAACUCCUGACCUCAGGUAAUCCACCUACUUCGGCCUCCAAAAGUGCUGGGAUUACACACAUGAGCCACUGCACUUGGCCCUAAUUAUUUUAAUUAGUGUUUGCAUAGUAUAUCUGUCUCUAUACUCUUUUAACCUACCUAUGCCCUUGAAUUUGAGAGUUUUUUGUAAACCACAUGUAUGUACUUGAGUUGUUUUGUAAAUCCAUUCUGCUAGUAUCUGUCUUUUUAUUUGUAUAUUCAGAUCUUUUACAUUUAAGAUAAUUAUUGGUAUGUUAGAACCUUACCCUACCAUUUUAUUAUUUGUUCUAUGACUGUUUCCUUUGUUUGUCAUUCUUCUGUUUCUUUCUUCUUGCCUUCCUGUACGUUACUUGAACAUUUUAAUAAAUCCAUCUUGAAUUAUUUAUAGUGUUUCUGAGUGUAUCUCUUUAUAUAGCUUGCUUAAUUGU
rnacentral:lncRNA from 1 species